GUGGGGAAUCUUCCGCAAUGGACGAAAGUCUGACGGAGCAACGCCGCGUGAGUGAAGAAGGUUUUCGGAUCGUAAAGCUCUUUCGUUAGGGACGAACGUGCUCUUUGUGAAUAAUGAGGAGUAAUGACGGUACCUAAAUAAGAAGCCACGGCUAACUACGUGCCAGCAGCCGCGGUAAUACGUAGGUGGCAAGCGUUGUCCGGAAUUAUUGGGCGUAAAGCGCGCGCAGGCGGGAUAUCAAGUCUGUCUUAAAAGUGCGAGGCUCAACCUCGUGAGGGGACAGAAACUGGUAUUCUUGAGUGUCGGAGAAGAAAGUGGAAUUCCAAGUGUAGCGGUGAAAUGCGUAGAGAUUUGGAAGAACACCAGUGGCGAAGGCGACUUUCUGGACGAUGUCUGACGCUGAGGCGCGAAAGCUAGGGGAGCGAACGGGAUUAGAAACCCGUGUAGUCC
rnacentral:rRNA from 1 species